rnacentral:rRNA from 1 species
CACGUAGGGGGCAAGCGUUGUCCGGAAUCAUUGGGCGUAAAGAGCUCGUAGGCGGCUCAGUAAGUCGGGUGUGAAACCUCCAGGCUCAACCUGGAGACGCCACCCGAUACUGCUGUGGCUAGAGUCCAGUAGGGGAGUGUGGAAUUCCCGGUGUAGCGGUGAAAUGCGCAGAUAUCGGGAGGAACACCAGCGGCGAAGGCAGGUCUCUGGGCAUUAACUGACGCUGAGGAGCGAAAGCAUGGGGAGCGAACAGG